CCCAUCUAUGGAACCCAGUGACCGCUUUGCAUGGAACCUGGAGAAACGAAAGUGGCCGCCGGGGAGCAGCCCCACUGCCGCGACGGCAGCUGGACCGACCGGGGCCCCCAAGGCGACGAGGACGCACUGCCGGACGGCCUGUGGGUGGGGGCGUCAUGGUCCCGUAGGAAGGAGGAAGGGGAGGGCCGCCGUCACCCUCCCAAUGCCUCCUCGUUUCGCCAUCCGGCCCGGGCCCCACUCCGGCGAGAGACGUAAAAAAUUGGUGAAUAAGUUCGAUAUCCAGCGGGGAGGCCGGGGAAGGUCAGGCGCCGUCCGAGUACAUCCGUGUCGUUCCCCACCUCCCGGUGACUCGGAAAAAUUGAGAAAGUACGACCACUAGGAGGUGGAGGACGACGUCGGGAACGGACACCGUGUCCUAUCACCACGCUCAGUCUUGCGGGCGGAGGGGCACCAGGACAUGCUGGUAGACCCGGCAAAACCAUCACAACCACAGCCCCGAAGCGCAAGGCCGACCUCACACCACAUGAAUCUGCUCGGCCAAUCUCCGGCUACAGCAGGAAGCGCCCAAGCCUCAGCGCCACCGGGACAGUCGCCGCCAGCAUUCCGCCUCCCGGAACUCUGCCUCGCGCCUGGCGGCCGAGUCACAGCCCUCGCCAAAGUCGCCGAAGCUCCGGAGGGAAGGGACGACCUCAAAGCAGUUGCUGUGUAGCGCCCGGCAACCUCUAGAAUGUACCCGGGACGACCCCCGAUCGCCGUUGGGCGAGGGUGCAGCGCGGGCCGCCCAAGCACCCGAGCUCGUCCCGUGUCGUCCGCCUCGGAGCUAGCUCCCGGCUCGACAUGGAAUGUGACCUUGAAAACCAUUAAAUGAUACCCACACAGCAUGCGUUCAGGAAGGACCCAUUUAUCUGCAGGUCAACGGACACUCAAAUGAAGAGAAACCCUAGACCUGUACUCAUGGUGGAAGAGUCCUCAUUUGGAGCUCCAGCCUCAGCACACACAGAGAACUCAGAGUCAGCAUUAAUUCAAUUAAUCCUGUUACUUAAAUUGUUUUUUUUUUAAAUCAGUCAUCAAUUUUCUACACAUCAGUGUGUACAUGUCAAUUACAAUUGCCCAAUUCAGCACACCACCAUCCCCACCCCACCGCGGUUUUCCCCCCUUGGUGUCCAUACGUUUGUUCUCUACAUCUGUGUCUCAACUUCUGCCCUGCACACAUGUUCAUCUGUACCAUUUUUCUAGGUUCCACAUCCAUGCGUUAAUAUACGAUAUUUGUUUUUCUC